AUCCGUCUGAUGAGUCUCAAAUAGGAGGAAACGCUCGUCCUGUAU
rnacentral:hammerhead_ribozyme from 1 species